GGUUCCCUGCGAUGCGCGUGAUAAAUGGUAAGCUUCGAGCCAACACCUUUUUAAAGGGGGCCUUACCUUGUUGCGGUGUGCAAGCUCACACAACGGUGAGAAGCCUAAAGCAACAACAAGGCACCCACUUUCUUUAAAGAGGUUCAUGAUUUGCCGUUUACACGGCAUCGCGGGGCUCUA
rnacentral:other from 1 species